GACGAAGGGGGCUAGCGUUGUUCGGAAUUACUGGGCGUAAAGGGCGCGUAGGCGGUCAGCACAAGUCAGUUGUGAAAUCUCCGGGCUUAACUCGGAAAGGUCAACUGAUACUGUGCGACUAGAGUGCAGAAGGGGCAACUGGAAUUCUCGGUGUAGCGGUGAAAUGCGUAGAUAUCGAGAGGAACACCUGCGGCGAAGGCGGGUUGCUGGGCUGAUACUGACGCUGAUGCGCGAAAGCCAGGGGAGCAAACGGG
rnacentral:rRNA from 1 species